rnacentral:lncRNA from 1 species
AGGGGGUAACAAAAGAGGAGGAAGGAUCAGUGAGAGUGAGAUUUAUGGAGGGGUAAGAAAGGAUGAGGGGGUUUGAACGGGAUCUCUUUAGGGUAGGCUGUUUGAGUGGUUCAUGGGGGUAGUCAAAGGAAGGGUUUUUGUGUGAUGCUAGGGUGGGCAGAGCUAGAGAAAAAGGGAAGGGUGGUGGGAGAUUGAUAGGGGGCAGUGAUUGGGCAAUGGGAGGAACUGGAAGGGUGAGAGAGGGCAAUUGUGUGUUGAUGAUGGUAGCUGGAAGAGAGGGUAGUGUUUUAUGUGGAGCGUUAGAGACUUGUGUUUCAGCAGUACCAGAUGUCUCACCAA